GGGCCAGUAGCUCAGUCGGUCAGAGCAGCGGACUCAUAAUCCGUCGGUCGUGGGUUCGAGCCCCACCUGGCCCA
rnacentral:tRNA from 1 species